UACGGGGGGGGCAAGCGUUGUUCGGAAUUACUGGGCGUAAAGGGCUCGUAGGCGGCCAACUAAGUCAUACGUGAAAUCCCUCGGCUUAACCGGGGAACUGCGUCUGAUACUGGAUGGCUUGAGUUCGGGAGAGGGAUGCGGAAUUCCAGGUGUAGCGGUGAAAUGCGCAGAUAUCAGGAAGAACACCGAUGGCGAAAGCAGCCCUCUGGGACGGUACUGACGCUGAGACGCGAAAGCGUGGGGAGCGAACAGG
rnacentral:rRNA from 1 species